UGUCAACCGGCAUCUUCAGCUAUGGAGCAUGCGCACAGCUCAUUAUGACUGUGAGCAUGCGCACUGGGAGAGAUAUCCCGAAUGCAAUGGUCCUCCCUGAGAGCCACAAGCGAACAUUCAACAACUUGAAAACUGGAUGAAAAUGAGAGACAGAGCAGCCACUGCAGAAGCUUCCAAAAUCACUCUGCACGUUCUUGAACUGCUGCAAUCUGCGUAGUGAAGUAGCUCCCAUGUUGCAAUUUGGAAAUUUGAAAGGGAACAUUUACUGACAGGCAGCUCAACUCAAACACGGGAUCAAAAACUGCCAGGGACACGUAAUUCUCAGGAGCUUUGAACAUGGAAGGAACAAGCAUCGUUUACAGUGAAGAGAAACCAUACAUGUGGUCUGUGUGGACAAGCCUUCAGUCAGUUGUCUGGCCUGUCAGUACGUAAAUGCAGUCAAAACAGGGUGACAACAAUGACAUCAAGCAGCACUUGCUUUGUAAUAUCAUAGUGAUGGAUCUCAGUUUGAGUUAAGCAAGGGCCACUCAUCUCCUCUCCUCCCUACAUUCUUGGUGCAAACAUGGACCAAACAGCUGAAUUCCAAAUGUGAGAGUGACUAUCCACUAUCUUAAGGCUCCAUUUGACAGAGCAUUGUAUUAAGGAAUCAUGACAAAGUUAAGUUCAAUAGGAACCAGAGAAUAUUAUUCUUCCAUGGAUAGCUGGUUUUUAAAAAACAUUGUGUCUUCAGACCUCACUGGAUUGAAACAAGGUGAGUUUAUUCAAACUUGUACCACAUACACGCGGAAGAGGUCUAUCAGCCGAGCUCGGAGACACUUCCAUUUACAGCUACUCAGAAACAGCAUAUUAAGGCAUUUUCACGUCAGAAGGGUUGCAUGUAACAUUGAUAUAAAAUAAAUGUAUAUGUAAGUUCUUACAACAAAACAGGAUGCUGUUCAGUUUCUGACAAAGUUCUGAGUCCUCUAAUUUCAACAGGACUGCCACUUCCAUACUAUCUUCAGAGCUUCUCUACCCCACUAUCAGCUCACAGCUGGGCGAGUAAUAUUUACAUGACUGUUAUACAGAUAGUUUCAGAGCCCUAAGUAACUGUUGAUGUUUCGCUGUUAUGGACCUUCAGUUAAACUGUCUGAGGCAUGUGAAUGUGAAAACAUCCCAUUCAUUUAUAUACUUCUAUAAAUUAAAAUCUUUUGUCUGCAUUUGAUUCCUGCACAGAGACUUUAAUUUAUAGAAGUAAACUCUUAUCCACCUACACAUUGAUAUGCAGGCACUACCCUGAAGCUUCCUGCCCAGUUAGGAAUUCAGUGUAAAGCUUUUGUAACUCCUUUUCUUCUCACACAUCGGUCUGCAGACACUGUCUUAAGAUUCCUGACUGAAUUAAAAUCCGAAUCAAACUGUUUCAAUAGGGUUAGCUGGGGAAGUUUUGUAAAGGUGUGAAACCUCUGAAGCAUGUAACUUCUAUCGCUGACAAAGGGACCAGGGCACUGACUUUGUUCUAGUCAGACACACUGGCAACUUGAAAUCAGAAUCUGUCCCGGCCAACAAUUCGAAAUCGCCUCCUGCCAUUAGCAGCUGCUUCACUAGCAAUCGAUACUAUAUCCUGGUCUUUUAUAUUGUUGAUGGAAUAACUGUUUGGUAUCCUGUUUUUGUCUGUUGUAGUAAUUGUUUUAUGUAUCAUGUCACUGUAAGUUGUGAAAUCGUUUUAUGUAUCAUGUCUUUUGUAAACUAUAAAAAGCGGGGACUGUCCGCUGCUCGGGGAGAAUUACUUGAGACUGUGCACUCUGUGCUGGGUUGAGUACAGUAAUUCUCCACAGCUUGCACUUAGCUGGUUAUAAAAGGAUUUGUGUUUUUCUAAACAGGCCAGUGUCUUGUUAUUGCAGUAAGUCCAUGAGGGUCUCCGAAAACGAACUUGACAACAUCACAGCUCCGGAACUCAAUCCCUCUACCAAUAAAACCUAACACACCGUAAGCCGCCUUGACAGCACUAUCAACCUGGGUGGCAACUUUCAGGGGUCUAUGUAGAUGGACACCAAGAUCCCUCUGCACAUCCACACUACCAAUAUUUGUUUUCCAAUGACCCAGUCUUCUGCCUUCCUAUUAUUCCUCCCAAAGUGAAUCACCUCAAGAGUUUUGAGAAGAUUUGUAGCUCAGGUUGAGGUUCUGGAUGUGAGUUUGCUCGCUGAGCUGGAAGGUUUGUUUUCAGACAUUUCGUCACCAUUCUAGGUAACAUCAUCACUGAUGAUGUUACCUAGAAUGGUGACGAAACGUCUGAAAAUGAAUCACCUCGCAUUUAUCCGUAUUAAACUCCAUUUGCCAAGUUUCAGCCAAAUUCUGCAGUUUAUCCAAGUCUCCCUGCAACCUGCAACAUUCUUCCACACUGUCCACCACUCCACCGACUUUAGUGUCAUCUUACUCACCCAUCCACCUAUGCUGGCGGCCAAGUCAUUUAUCAAAAUGACAAACAGCAGUGGUCCCAAAACAGAUCCUUGAGGCACACCACUAGUGACCUGACUCCAGGCUGAAUAUGGUUAUGGGGAAGUCUGUGCUAUGAUGGAAGGAUAAUAUAACAGUAAAGUACAUGAAAGCGAUUGCAGAACAUGGUGGUGCUGAUGUAUCUGUGAGUCCUGGCACAUGAAUCCUAUAAUUUUAGUCUGCGCAUGUAGCCACUGAUUAAGAAAGUAUAUGGAAUGGUGCUGUUUUAUGCAAAACCUAUCUCUAUAAUCAUUGGAUUGUUAUACUACACCUGUACUGGGCUUUACUAAGACCACUCCCGAUAUAUUCCGAGCAGUUACAAUUCCCGAAACUGAAAACAAAAUGCAAUUGCUUCAGAAGCUUAUCAAAUUUAUUUCAUGUUACCCAUUCCUGGAAGGAAAGUCUUGUCGAGCCACAGAGUCAUACAGUUCAGGAACAGACCCUUUGGUCCAACCCGUCCAUGCUGACCAGAAUUUCCAAACUGAUGUAUUUCCAUUUGCUAGCAUUAGGCCCAUAACCCUCUAAACCCUUCCUAUUCAUGUAUCCAUCGUGGUGCUUUUUAAAUGUUGUGACUGUACCAGCCUCAACCACUUCCUCUGGCAGCUUAUUGCUUACACACAGCACCCUCUGCAUGCAACAGUUACCCUUCAGGUCUCUUUAAAAUCUCCUCCGUCUUUCAAUAUCUCUAUGCACUCUAUUUUUGCACACCCUCACCUGAGAAAAAAUGACCUUGGCUGUUCCCUGUAUCACGCAAUAUUCAGAGAAAAAUUGCCAUCUUUCAGCCCCCCGAAGCAGUCUGUGUACAUGUGUGGGAUGACAACAGUCAAGCUUAUGCUGUUGAAGUGUCGGUAAUAUUCAUGUAACAGUACAAAGUUAUACACUGCUCAUGUCCACGGUAAUAAUGGAGCAGUUUUUCCAGCUCUUCAAGCUGGUUUCAAAGGAAGGGGAUGAAGCCAUUUAGCUCAUCAAAACUAUUGGGAAAUAAGGGGCACAGCCCAUUCACUCUCUCCUGCCUAUUACACAUGAAGGCAAGGAGUCUCGACAGCACAUCGAGCUGUUAAACAGGUACCGGGGUCAUCCGAUCAGGUCCUUGAACCUUGUCCCUGGGACCAGGAGCCGGCCAUUCCGACCCUCAAGCCACAUAAACAGAAACAGAAGGAUGUCAUUGAUGCUCCAGCAUGACAAACCAAUGAAGCAGAGAAUGCACAGACUGCUCCAUGUGGUUUCUCCUGGUGCCAUUGCUCAUGGUACACACAUGUGACUUUAACGUCAGAACAAAAACAAAGUCACUGGAAAAACUCAGCAGCUCUGGCAGGAUCUGUGAAGGAGAAAACAGAGUUAAUGUUUCGAGUCCGGUGACUCUCUCUCAGAACGGUUACUUUAAUGUCACUUGCUGAUGGUUAGGAGGGACAGUGGAUGAUAACGGAAUAGUGUAGGUUAGAUGGGCUUCGGUUUGUUUUCACAGGACGGUGCAACAUCGAGGGCUGAAGGUUCUGUACUGCACUGUAAUGUUCUAUGAAUCAUAUCAGAUCGCAUGGAUCAGUUACAGCAGUAGCUGGAGGCAAAGAGGAAUUUACAGGAGCGAGGGAAUGUGAUGAAUAUCUGUUCCGGGGGUGGAAAUACUGCAGAUGCAGUGAGGUUGAUGGGUUACUUGUAGGAAAUGUAGGAUGGGUUGACAGGCAAUGCAGGAGUCUCCUGUAGCCAUCUCAAUCUCAAACGAUUAUGCUGUUUUGGGGAAUUCGGGCGUGACAGACUCUCGGAGGCAUAUAGCACUCAGAGCCAAGUUUCUGGUAGCCAUACUGUCUCUACUGUAAUGAGGAUUACAUCAGGUUCCAAGUGAUUGAUUUCAGGGAACUGUCAAGGCAGAAACACAGGCAGACGUUUCUGCAGCCAACAGCAAGACAGCAGGAUAGUGUGUUGCCUACAGAGUGCGAGGGUUAAGGAUGUCUUGGACAGGGUAAAUAAUAUUCUCAAUGGCUCGACAGACGAACAGGAGAUUGUUGUACACUUUGGAACUAACAACAUAGGACGAGAAAAUGGAUGAGAUUUUGAGGGUAGCACAUGGGAAAUUAGGGAAGGAUGUAUGAAAGUUGGUUGCUGAGUACAGUAAUACCUGGAUUACUUCUGGUGACACGAACUAGUGAGGUUUGGAAUAGAGAAGAUCGAGCAGAUGGACUCGGGGCUGAGGAGCUGAUAUGGGGGAAAGGAUACACAUUUCUGGAUAUUUGGAAUCUCUUCCGGGUUGAAGUGAACUUUACAAAGAGGAUGGAUUGCAGUUGAAUGGGAAGUGGCCUAAUAUUCUGGCAUUGAGAAUUGUUCUAGCCAUCCAGGAGGAUUUAAACUGGUAAGAUGGUGAGGGUGGGAUGCAGGGUUGGUGCAGAUGGAUAUGCUGGAGGGAUCAAGUGACAUUGUGAGAAAAGGGAGCAGUCUGAGUCUGUUGCAGUAGUUUUUUUUUUAAAAAAGCAAGUCAAGUAGGCAAAGCAGGCUGGAGCAAAGCAGAGAAUGAGGUAGGUAUGAUAAGUUAAACUGCAUUUAUAUCAAUGCACGUGGCCUGAUAGUAUUGCAGCUUAACUCGGCACGGUUAGUGACUUGAGACUGGGAUAACAUAGCUAUCAGAAAUGUGGCUCCUGGAUGGACAGUCAUGGCAGCUUAACGUUCAAGCAGAUAGCUGCUGUCAGACAGGUCGAAAACGUUGCAAAGGAGGUGGGGAAGAAGGGCGAUGACAUUUUUGAUUUGGGAUAACAUUCUGGCUGUACUUAGGGAGGAUAUUCCUAUGAGUAUGAUCAAUGAAGUUAUUUGGGUGCAAUUGAGAAAUAAGAAAGAGUUGACCACAUUGUAGGAAUUGUACUCCCCACCACAAAAAUAAACAGUCAGUAGUUCAACUGAGAAGCAAAUUUGUUAGGAUAUGAUAGUUAUGUGUUAAAAUAAUAAGGUGGCCACGGUAGGGGAUUUUAACUUUCCAAAAAUAGACUGAGCUUGCCAUAGUGUGAAAGAAUCAGAUAGAAGGAGGGUUCUUCUGUGUAUGUUCAUGAAUUUUUUUUGUUCAGCAUGUGGAUUUACCUCCAAGAGAAGGUUAAAGAAUGAAUUAGACGUACUCUUGGGGAAUAAGGCAGGGAAAGUAACCGAGUUGUCAGUGGGGUAGCACUCUGGGGCAAAGAAAAUCCAUAAUUUUAUUCAUUUUAAAAUAAGUAUGAAAAAGAAUUGACCUGACCUAAAAGCUAAAGUUCUAAACUUCAGCAAGGUCAUUUUGAACGAUAUUAGCCGUGAACUGUCAAAAGUUGAUAUGAAUGAUAUUCGCAAGUAAAGGGAUGGCUUGCAAUGGGAAAUCGUCACAAAUUUAUAACGAAAUUCCAGCGACAGUACACUUGGUUAGGAUGAAAGGCAAGGCUGAUAGGUGUAGGGAAUGCUGGAUGACUCGAGAAAUUGAGUUUCGGAUCAAGAAAAAGAAGGAGGCAUGUAUCAGGUAUCGACAGCGGGGAUUGCAUGCAUCCCUACAGGAGACGAAGGAAAGUUGGAGUAUACUUAAGAAGGGAAUCAUGAGGGCAAAAAGUGGUCAUGAGAGAGUUUCAGUAAAUAGGGUUAAGGAGAAGUCAAAGGAUUUAUGCAAAUACAUUUUGGAGAAAAGAGUAUAUAAGGAGAGAAUGGGGCCCCUUAAAAAUCAGCAAGGUUGCCUAUGUGUGGAACCGCAGGAGAUGAGUGAGUUACUAAAAUGAACAAAUUGUAUCUGUGCUUUCUGUUCAAAGCAUACGAACCUGAGGGAACUCGGGGAAAUAAACAGCAAGAAGUGUCCACGUUACGGAGGUAGUGGUGCUGGCCCCUUAAAAUGUAUAAAGAUGAAUAAAUCAUCAGGAUCUGAUCAAAUAUAUCCUCAGCAUUUAUGGGAACCUAGGGAACUGACUUAUGGGCACCUUGCUGAGAUAUUUGUAUCAUCGAUAGCCACCGAUGAUGUGAUGGAAGGCUGAAAGUUGGCUAUCAUGGUCCCACUAUUUAAGAAAGGUGAUCAGGGAAAGAUAGGGAACUGUAGACUGGUGAGGAUGACAUCAGUGAUGGGCAUAUUGUUGGAGGGGAUUUUCAGGACAGGAUUUACAUGUAUUUGGAAAGGGAAGGGCUGAUUGAGGACUGUCAGCAUGGCUUUGCGCUGGGAAAUUGUGUCUCAAUAACUUGAUUAAAUUUGAAGAAAUGAUGAGAAGGAUUGAUGGAGGCAGAGUGUUAGAUGUUGUCUAUAUAGGUUUCAGUCAGGCAUUCAACAAGGUUCCACAUGGUGGACUGGUUAGCAAUGUCACAUCACAUGGAAUACAGGGAGAACGAACAAUUUGAAUAAAAAUUAGCUUAAAGGAAGAAGACAAAGCACAGUGACAGAGUGCUUUUCGAAAUGCAAACCUGCGGCCAAUGGUGUCCUACAACGACCAGUAAUGGGCCAUUGUUUUUGUCAUUCUACAAUGAUUUCACUUUUAAAACAGGAGGUAUAGUUGGUAAGUUUGCAGAUGACACUAAAAUUGGUGAUGUAAUGAACAAUGAAGCAAGUUAUCUCAGGAAAAAAUUGAUUUGAAUUUCCCACAGUUCCUCAUUUUCACUAUUCACCAUGUUCCCUGCUAUUUCUGGAAGAGUUUCUGUUCCUCCCUUCAUGGAAACAGAACAUCACAUUCACUACACCAGGCAGGGCUGGCGUUUGUCAUGUUGUGAAUAUAUUGGAGGUCGGCACUCUGGCACAUGAUGGAUAAGUCACCCACUGCUGCAAAGAAAGUUCUAGAAUGAGAUAACAAUGUGAAGAGCUGGAUGAAGCGCCCAGACCCGAAACAUCAGCUUUCCUGCUUCUCUGGUGCUGUCUGGCCUCCUGUGUUCAUCCAGCUCUAUACCUAAUCUCAUAUUCCAGUAUCAGCAGUUCCUACUAUCUCUGAGUAAGUUCUAGAAUGAAACCAGUUCACUUGAUGCUCUUUGUCAGUACUGCCCUCUCCCUGAUGCAUACAUUGUGUACUCUCCCACUGUUGGAAAUGCCUUUCUCUCCUUAGUUUAUUUUCCUGGCUGAUAAAUAGACAUAUCUCUACACAGUCGCAGUGGCCUGAAAUAUUAAUGAGUCUGCUCUUCAUAGAAGCAGUGGACAAUGUAAUUGCACAAUUUUCUGUAUCACAGUCGCGAUAGCAGCAACAUGUGAACCAUCGUCAAUUACCUUUAACUGUGACCAUUCCACAAGGCAGUUUGGAGCCAAACACAUUGUUAUGGGUUUGAAUUCACACUUAAUCCAGACCAGUAAAACGUUAGAUUUCUUUAUCAGAGGAGAUCAGUGGAAUGAGAUCGGUUUUUUAGUCAAAAUGCUGCUGAUUUUAUGGUUGUUAUUACUGAAAUUCACUUUCGUUACAAUUCUUAUCAUUAGAAUUUAAGUUCUACCACCAACUGUGGUGUGAUUUGAAACAAUAUCUUUAGAGUAAUAACCUGUGUCUCUGGAAUUACCUGCUGAGUGACUUAAUUGAUCUGACAUGAUGUUCCUAUCGUUGAUUACUUCAGAAACAAGAACAAGGGUGUGAUCAAAUUAAUUGUAACUUGGAAGACAGGUCAGAAAUGAGCUGGAACUAUCAAGUCUGAAUUUUACCACGUCAUAGAUAAUGGUUUAUUCAGUAACAGUACAGAGGCAGAGGGGGAGAGUGGGGACAUUAUGGAGCUGGUGUUGGACAGGUUUGGCGAUGGAGACAAUAGCGAAACAUAAAUCAAUAAAGGCCCUCAAUGAUGUGAACAAGUCUUCUUCUCAGAUGCCUUUGAAGGAUGAGUCUGAAAUUCAUGAACAAUGAAGUGAGGUUUUAGUUAAACUGAAGAUAAUAGAUUCCAUCUUUUCCAAAUGUCGGCAACAGAAACAACAAUAAAGUUGAAUAUACUUUGUGGAAGUAAUGACUGGACAGAGAUAGAGAGACUUACCAGGAACACCAACAAUAGCGAGAAUGGGAUAGUAACCAACUUGAAUAACCCACAGUACACCAAGUAUCCGCUCUGGUAAUGUCGACCUAUAGUUAGUAAGAUAGUAAAGACCCGAGGAUAAACUCCUGCCCAUUGUUGUAACAUUCCAGUCUAUUGUUCUCAGAUUCUGAUCCAUUGUUGUAACAUCCCAGUCUAUUGUUCUCAGAUUCUGAUCCAUUGUUGUAACAUCCCAGUCUAUUGUUCUCAGAUUCUGAUCCAUUGUUGUAACAUCCCAGUCUAUUGUUCUCAGAUUCUGAUCCAUUGUUGUAACAUUCCAGUCUAUUGUUCUCAGAUUCUGAUCCAUUGUUGUAACAUUCCAGUCUAUUGUUCUCAGAUUCUGAUUCAUUGUUGUAACAUUCCAGUCUAUUGUUCUCAGAUUCUGAUCCAUUGUUGUAACAUCCCAGUCUAUUGUUCUCAGAUUCUGAUCCAUUGUUGUAACAUUCCAGUCUAUUGUUCUCAGAUUCUGAUCUCUCCGCCCCCUCUCUCUGCAGCUGCUGAUCCCUGUUAGUGUGUUUGCUGAUGUCUCACUUGUACUGUGGGAUAACACACUGAAUGGAGCCCCUUAGUAAUAGGAGAGGGAAAGCCUCCUGUGACACAGUUCGAAUCUGUGGAGACUGACAUCAAUCACAGUCACCGAACAAACAGUUCCAGAUAACGCCUUUCAAUACACCUUCAGUGAAUCUUCAGUUCACAAUUAAAACUGGACUGGAUUGCACGUUAACAUCGUUGGCUGUAGGUCUUAUAUACCAUUAGCUAUUGCUCUAAUGACGUCUGUCGUGGGGGAGAAUGAUGGAUGUUUUCAUUUUUCAGGCUAAAUGGCUCUGCCCUGUUGUCCAUGUGCAAUGCUGUAACCACCUGCACCAACACCCUCCCCCUCCAAAAAAGAACACAAUCAAAAUGUUAUUACUGUGCUGAUUACUCUGACACAACCAACAACAACAAAAAAUAAUCGCUGGGCAUAGUCGGGCUGACCUUGCAGAAUAUUCAUGCAUUUAGGAUGAUAUUCGCAUUUUUUUGGAACUUAAAAGAAGAAACAGACACUGGGGCAUGAUGGGUGUAAUCGGCAGAAUAACGCUAAUGGAAACAGGAAUGGAUGAUAUUGUCAAAAUCCGACCAAGCUGGGCCAGUCCAGAAAAGCAAAAUGCUGGAGAUUAUGGAAAUUUGAAACAGAAACAGAAAUUGGUGGAGAUGAGGCAACAUCUGGAGACAGACUUUGAGUUAACAUAUCUAGUCUGUUAUGAACCUGUUCUGAAAAAGUCAUAUUACAGAUGCUGCUGGACUGGAUAAGUUACAUUCCAGAAUUUCUUUUCUUUCUUUUGGACUGUCACAAUUUGUCUGAUCUGGAUCAGAACAAUAAAGCUGCCAUUUGAGUUGACCUUCAAGUAUUUGUGAAUGAUCAUUAAAUGAGUCAUUGCAAAGUUUCCGCAUUAAAGAUCCCUAAUAUUGAUGCCAUGUCGCAUUGAGAUAAAUUGCCAAGAAUGGAUUGAACUCAGUGCCACUGAUAUCGCAUGGUCAGUCCUCUGAUUGAAAACGAUGAGGAUCCUUACCACAAUGUCAUGCCAUGCUCCUGAUGUUGCUGGGCUUAUACUCAUUUGGCAAAGUCUUACCUUCCAAGACUUUAGACUCAACUUUGAAACCAUAAAGUAUCUUGAUAUUCUUAAUAAGACACACUCAUCCAUGCAUUUUAGCAGGCACGAGCAAGGACAAUGUUUAUUUUUCAUCAAGAGCUCUAGAGAACGUAACAUGAAGCUGCCUUCCUGAAACGCUUCCAAUCCAAGUGGUGCAGAAGUACACACAGAACUGUUUAUAAGGGGUUCCAAGAUUGUGCAGGAUUGUCUCCAAUUUGCAUUGAUCACGUUUUUACUUCGGGUCCAUGAUGCCAUAAUGAGUGAAGUAGCAUGGGCGGCAUGGGAAGUUACUCUGAUCUCACUUCAAAUGAUAUUGGAACACCAGCUGAAACAAUAAAGAGUGAAAGUACAGAACACUGUGCUCACUGUCCUCACAAAAUUCCGAAGAAUUUUCAGUAUAGACUUGCAAUUCUGUCAGGUGAUGUUUGUCCUAUUUGUGACGAGGCUAUUUGGUGUCUGAAAUGUACUGCUUAGGAGGAUAGCUGAGGCAGGUAACAUGCCAAACUAUAAAAAGCAUUUGGAUCACCUGGUAGUGCAGUCUCAAUGAGAUUUUUCUCAAUUGUCUGAUUCUAUGUGGUAGCAGCCAUGAAAGGCCUGAUAUAUUCCAAAGUACUAGCCAAUGGCACUUGUUUGUCUGUUCCAUCAACUGUGUUCAGAAAGUUUUUUUCAAAACCGCAUCUCUCAUAAAGUAUCAGCACUCACUCAACCUGGGACUGCCCAGCUGUCUCUGAAAACAUCCAGCUUUUUUCAAAUGGUCAGUGCCAGAUUAUUCCAGCUGUUAAUCACCGUUAUUUUAAUGAAGCUAAUAAAAUGGAUACAGCUUUCCCUUCAUUAGAAUAAUGUAUUUUAGCUGUUAUGUUGUCAUUCCUCAAAAGAACAAUAAACUCCUUGU